AUCCAACCCACAUAUACGAAACACAAACUCACAUUCCCACCAAUAAACCUAUGGAAAUCGGUUUCCUAAAAUCGAUUGCCGUAACUCGCCGGAAUUCCCGAAACUCUCCCGGGACUUCGCCGGGACCCACGAACUAUCCCGGAACUCACCGACUCAUGCUACGAGUUGCCCGCUGCCACUAAACACAAUUAUUCGUGUGACUUGGCAGCAAACACACCUCCUCACAUCGGAACGGUUAUCAUCGGACAAUCGUUCCGAUCCGGGUACCCGGAAGUGUCAAUUUCGACACCGGAACCCACCAUC
rnacentral:lncRNA from 1 species